rnacentral:rRNA from 1 species
CCUACGGGUGGCAGCAGUGGGGAAUAUUGCGCAAUGGGCGAAAGCCUGACGCAGCGAAGCCGCGUGAGGGAUGAAGGUCCUCGGAAUGUUAACCUCUGUCAGCAGGGAAGAACGGUCACUGUGCUAAUCAGCAGUGAAUUGACGGUACCUGCAAAGGUAGCACCGGCUAACUCCGUGCCAGCAGCCGCGGGAAUACGGAGGGUGCGAGCGUUAAUCGGAAUUACUGGGCGUAAAGCGCUCGUAGGCGGUAUGUCAAGUCAAGGGUGAAAUCCCCGCGCUCAACGUGGGAACUGCCUUUGAAACUGGCAGACUGGAGUGUGUGAGAGGAUAGUGGAAUUCGAGGUGUAGGGGUGAAAUCCGUAGAUAUCUGGAGGAACAUCAGUGGCGAAGGCGACAAUCUGGCACAUAACUGACGCUGAGGAGCGAAAGCGUGGGUAGCGAACAGGAUUAGAUACCCUUGUAGUC